UACGGGGGGGGCAAGCGUUGUUCGGAAUUACUGGGCGUAAAGGGCUUGUGGGCGGCCAACUAAGUCCGACGUGAAAUCCCCAGGCUUAACCUGGGAACUGCGUCGGAUACUGGAUGGCUUGAAUUCGGGAGAGGGAUGCAGAAUUCCAGGUGUAGCGGUGAAAUGCGUAGAUAUCUGGAGGAAUACCGGUGGCGAAGGCGGCAUCCUGGACCGACAUUGACGCUGAGGAGCGAAAGCAUGGGGAGCGAACAGG
rnacentral:rRNA from 1 species